rnacentral:rRNA from 1 species
AUUGAACGCUGGCGGCAGGCUUAACACAUGCAAGUCGAGCGAGCGGCGGACGGGUGAGUAAUGUCUGGGAAACUGCCUGAUGGAGGGGGAUAACUACUGGAAACGGUAGCUAAUACCGCAUACCAUCAGAUGUGCCCAUAUGGGAUUAGCUAGUUGGUGGGGUAAUGGCUCACCUAGGCGACGAUCCCUAGCUGGUCUGAGAGGAGGACGAGGCAGACGGGAAAGGUGACACGGUCCAGACUCCUACGUGAGGAAGGAGGGGGGAAUAUUGCACAAUGGGCGCAAGCCGGAUGCAUCCAUGGCGGGUGUGUGAAGAAGGCCUUGGGGGUGUAAAGCACUUUCAGCGAUGAGGCGUUACUCGCAGAAGAAGCACCGGCUAACUCCGUGCCAGCAGCCGCGGUAAUUC